ACUCAUACCUUGCAGGGGAAAUACCAUGUUAUAAAAGUGGUUUUUCCAGGAGGAGGCUCAUCCAUUGCACUUUGGGUGUGUUGCUGAUCCCUAUGAUUUCCCCAAAUGUGGGGAACUCAUCUGCCUACCUAAUUUGUAUUAAUGAGAGAUUGCACUUCUGAUUAACUCUGU
rnacentral:snRNA from 1 species